rnacentral:rRNA from 1 species
GACGAACGCUGGCGGCGUGCCUAACACAUGCAAGUCGAACGGAAAGGCCCUGCUUUUGUGGGGUGCUCGAGUGGCGAACGGGUGAGUAACACGUGAGUAACCUGCCCUUGACUUUGGGAUAACUUCAGGAAACUGGGGCUAAUACCGGAUAGGAGCUCCUGCUGCAUGGUGGGGGUUGGAAAGUUUCGGCGGUUGGGGAUGGACUCGCGGCUUAUCAGCUUGUUGGUGGGGUAGUGGCUUACCAAGGCUUUGACGGGUAGCCGGCCUGAGAGGGUGACCGGCCACAUUGGGACUGAGAUACGGCCCAGACUCCUACGGGAGGCAGCAGUGGGGAAUAUUGCACAAUGGGCGGAAGCCUGUUGCAGCAACGCCGCGUGCGGGAUGACGGCCUUCGGGUUGUAAACCGCUUUCGCCUGUGACGAAGCGUGAGUGACGGUAAUGGGUAAAGAAGCACCGGCUAACUACGUG